AUACGUAGGGGGCGAGCGUUGUCCGGAAUGAUUGGGCGUAAAGGGCGCGUAGGCGGCCCGGUAAGUCUGGAGUGAAAGUCCUGUUUUUAAGAUGGGAAUUGCUUUGGAUACUGUCGGGCUUGAGUGCAGGAGAGGUAAGUGGAAUUCCCAGUGUAGUGGUGAAAUGCGUAGAGAUUGGGAGGAACACCAGUGGCGAAGGCGACUUACUGGACUGUAACUGACGCUGAGGCGCGAAAGUGUGGGGAGCAAACAGGAUGAGAUACCCUGGUAGUCCACACUGUAAACGAUGAAUGCUAGGUGUAGGGGGUAUCGACCCCUUCUGUGCCGCAGUCAACACAAUAAGCAUUCCGCCUGGUGAGUACGGCCGCAAGGUGGAAACUCAAAGGAAUUUACGGGG
rnacentral:rRNA from 1 species